UGCCAGCGAUUAGGUCGGGAACUCAAAGGAGACUGCCAGUGAUAAACUGGAGGAAGGUGGGGAUGACGUCAAGUCAUCAUGGCCCUUACGACCAGGGCUACACACGUGCUACAAUGGCGCAUACAAAGAGAAGCGACCUCGCGAGAGCAAGCGGACCUCAUAAAGUGCGUCGUAGUCCGGAUUGGAGUCUGCAACUCGACUCCAUGAAGUCGGAAUCGCUAGUAAUCGUGGAUCAGAAUGCCACGGUGAAUACGUUCCCGGGCCUUGUACACACCGCCCGUCACACCAUGGGAGUGGGUUGCAAAAGAAGUAGGUAGCUUAACCUUCGGGAGGGCGCUUACCACUUUGUGAUUCAUGACUGGGGUGAAGUCGUAACAAGGUAACCGUAGGGGAACCUGCGGUUGGA
rnacentral:rRNA from 7 species